GCCCGCUUCGCCAAGUCUGGGAAGGCAACGGUCCUACACACCGUCAUUGCGGUGGUUCAAAUCCAUCAGCGGGCA
rnacentral:tRNA from 1 species